AGCGAACGUUAGCGGCGGGCCAAACACAUGCAAGUCGAGCGAGAAAAGGACUUCGGUCCUGAGUAAAGCGGCGGACGGGUGAGUAACACGUAGGUAAUCUUCCCUUGAGCGGGGGACAACGAGCCGAAAGGCUCGCUAAUACCGCAUACGUUUCUCGAGACUCUGGUCUUGGGAAGGAAAGCAAGGCCGCAAGGUCCGGCACUCGAGGAGGAGCCUGCGUCGCAUCAGCUAGUUGGUGGGGUAACGGCCUACCAAGGCGAAGACGCGUAGCUGGUCUGAGAGGAGGAUCAGCCGCACUGGGACUGAGACACGGCCCAGACUCCUACGGGAGGCAGCAGUGGGGAAUAUUGGACAAUGGGCGCAAGCCUGAUCCAGCCACGCCGCGUGAGUGAUGAAGGCCUUCGGGUCGUAAAGCUCUGUGGGGAGGGACGAACCGCUGAACGUUCAUAGCGUUCAGCAUGACGGUACCUCCUUAGCAAGCACCGGCUAACUUCGUGCCAGCCGCCGCCGUAAGAC
rnacentral:rRNA from 1 species